rnacentral:rRNA from 1 species
UCGGAUGAAGGUCUGGUGACUGAGUGGCGGACGGGUGAGUAACGCGUGGGUAACCUGCCCUGUACAGGGGGAUAACAGCUGGAAACGGCUGCUAAUACCGCAUAAGCGCACGAGGAGACAUCUCCUUGUGUGAAAAACUCCGGUGGUACAGGAUGGGCCCGCGUCUGAUUAGCUGGUUGGCAGGGUAACGGCCUACCAAGGCAACGAUCAGUAGCCGGUCUGAGAGGAUGAACGGCCACAUUGGAACUGAGACACGGUCCAAACUCCUACGGGAGGCAGCAGUGGGGAAUAUUGCACAAUGGGGGAAACCCUGAUGCAGCAACGCCGCGUGAGUGAAGAAGUAUUUCGGUAUGUAAAGCUCUAUCAGCAGGGAAGAUAAUGACGGUACCUGACUAAGAAGCUCCGGCUAAAUACGUGCCAGCAGCCGCGGUAAUACGUAUGGAGCAAGCGUUAUCCGGAUUUACUGGGUGUAAAGGGUGCGUAGGUGGCAGUGCAAGUCAGAUGUGAAAGGCCGGGGCUCAACCCCGGAGCUGCAUUUGAAACUGCUCGGCUAGAGUACAGGAGAGGCAGGCGGAAUUCCUAGUGUAGCGGUGAAAUGCGUAGAUAUUAGGAGGAAC